rnacentral:rRNA from 1 species
GAAAAGAAACUAACAAGGAUUCCCCUAGUAACUGCGAGUGAAGCGGGAAAAGCUCAAAUUUAAAAUCUGGCGGUCUUUGGCCGUCCGAGUUGUAGUCUGGAGAAGUGCUUUCCGCGCUGGACCGUGUAUAAGUCUCUUGGAACAGAGCGUCAUAGAGGGUGAGAAUCCCGUCUUUGACACGGACUACCAGUGCUUUGUGAUGCGCUCUCAAAGAGUCGAGUUGUUUGGGAAUGCAGCUCAAAAUGGGUGGUGAAUUCCAUCUAAAGCUAAAUAUUGGCGAGAGACCGAUAGCGAACAAGUACCGUGAGGGAAAGAUGAAAAGCACUUUGGAAAGAGAGUUAAACAGUACGUGAAAUUGCUGAAAGGGAAACGCUUGAAGUCAGUCGCGUUGUCUGGGACUCAGCCUUGCUUUUGCUUGGUGCACUUUCCGGAUGACGGGCCAGCAUCGAUUUUGACCGUCGGAAAAGGGCUAGGGUAAUGUGGCACCUCCGGGUGUGUUAUAGACUUUAGUCGCAUACGGCGGUCGGGAUCGAGGAACGCAGCGCGCCGUAAGGCAGGGGUUCGCCCACUUUCGCGCUUAGGAUGCUGGCGUAAUGGCUUUAAACGACCCGUCUUGAAACACGGACCAAGGAGUCUAACAUACCUGCGAGUGUUUGGGUGGAAAACCCGAGCGCGUAAUGAAAGUGAAAGUUGAGACCUCUGUCGUGGAGGGCAUCGACGCCCGGACCUGACGUUCUCUGACGGAUCCGCGGUAGAGCAUGUAUGUUGGGACCCGAAAGAUGGUGAACUAUGCCUGAAUAGGGUGAAGCCAGAGGAAACUCUGGUGGAGGCUCGUAGCGAUUCUGACGUGCAAAUCGAUCGUCAAAUUUGGGUAUAGGGGCGAAAGACUAAUCGAACCAUCUAGU